CCUACGGGUGGCAGCAGUGGGGAAUAUUGGACAAUGGGGGGAACCCUGAUCCAGCCAUGCCGCGUGUGUGAAGAAGGCCCCCGGGUUGUAAAGCACUUUCAGUGAGGAAGAACGCCUGGUGGUUAAUACCCAUCAGGAAAGACAUCACUCACAGAAGAAGCACCGGCUAACUCCGUGCCAGCAGCCGCGGUAAUACGGAGGGUGCGAGCGUUAAUCGGAAUUACUGGGCGUAAAGCGCGCGUAGGUGGCUUGAUAAGCCGGUUGUGAAAGCCCCGGGCUCAACCUGGGAACGGCAUCCGGAACUGCAAAGCAUGAGUGAGGGGGAGGAGGGUAGAAUUCCCGGGGUAGCGGUGAAUUGGGUAGAGAUCGGGAGGAAUCCCAGUGGCGAAGGCGGCUUUCUGGAUUGAAACUGACACUGAGGUGCGAAAGCGUGGGUAGAAAAGAGGAUAGAUACCCUGGUAGUC
rnacentral:rRNA from 1 species